rnacentral:rRNA from 1 species
AGCGAACGCUGGCGGCAGGCCUAACACAUGCAAGUCGAACGAACUCUUCGGAGUUAGUGGCGGACGGGUGAGUAACACGUGGGAACGUGCCUUUUGGUUCGGAAUAACUCAGGGAAACUUGUGCUAAUACCGAAUGUGCCCUUCGGGGGAAAGAUUUAUCGCCAUUAGAGCGGCCCGCGUCUGAUUAGCUAGUUGGUGAGGUAACGGCUCACCAAGGCGACGAUCAGUAGCUGGUCUGAGAGGAUGACCAGCCACACUGGGACUGAGACACGGCACAGACUCCUACGGGAGGAAGCAGUGGGGAAUCUUGCGCAAUGGGCGAAAGCCUGACGCAGCCAUGCCGCGUGAAUGAUGAAGGUCCUAGGAUUGUAAAAUUCUUUCACCGGGGACGAUAAUGACGGUACCCGGAGAAGAAGCCCCGGCUAACUUCGUG